AGCGAACGCUGGCGGCAGGCUUAACACAUGCAAGUCGAACGGAUCCUUCGGGAUUAGUGGCGGACGGGUGAGUAACACGUGGGAACGUGCCUUUUGGUCCGGAACAACACAGGGAAACUUGUGCUAAUACCGGAUGUGCCCUUCGGGGAAAGGAUUUAUCGCCAUUAGAGCGGCCCGCGUCUGAUUAGCUAGUUGGUGAGGUAAAGGCUCACCAAGGCUACGAUCAGUAGCUGGCUGAGAGGAUGAUCAGCCACA
rnacentral:rRNA from 1 species